GAUGAAGAACGUAGCGAAAUGCGAUAAGUAAUGUGAAUUGCAGAAUUCAGUGAAUCAUCGAAUCUUUGAACGCGCAUUGCGCCCGCCAGUAUUCUGGCGGGCAUCCCUGUCUGAGCGUCAUUUCAACCCUCAAGCAACUUCUGCUUGGUGUUGGGGAUCGGCCGUCAAACGCCGCCCCCGAAAUCUAUUGGCGAUCUCGCUGUAGCUUCCUAUGCGUAGUAGUAACAUCUCGCAUCUGGAGAGCGGCGCGGUCAUGCCGUAAAACACCCAACUUCUCAGGUUGACCUCAGAUCAGGUAGGAAUACCCGCUGAACUUAAGCAUAUCAAUAAGCGGAGGA
rnacentral:misc_RNA from 1 species